rnacentral:rRNA from 1 species
GUGGGGAAUCUUAGACAAUGGGGGAAACCCUGAUCUAGCCAUGCCGCGUGAUCGAUGAAGGCCUUAGGGUUGUAAAGAUCUUUCAGGUGGGAAGAUAAUGACUGUACCACCAGAAGAAGCCCCGGCUAACUCCGUGCCAGCAGCCGCGGUAAUACGGAGGGGGCUAGCGUUGUUCGGAAUUACUGGGCGUAAAGCGCACGUAGGCGGAUUGGAAAGUUGGGGGUGAAAUCCCGGGGCUCAACCCCGGAACUGCCUUCAAAACUCCCAGUCUUGAGUUCGAGAGAGGUGAGUGGAAUUCCGAGUGUAGAGGUGAAAUUCGUAGAUAUUCGGAGGAACACCAGUGGCGAAGGCGGCUCACUGGCUCGAUACUGACGCUGAGGUGCGAAAGCAUGGGGAGCAAACAGGAUUAGAAACCCUUGUAGUCC